rnacentral:rRNA from 1 species
GACGAACGCUGGCGGCGUGCUUAACACAUGCAAGUCGAACGGAAAGGCCCUGCUUUUGUGGGGUGCUCGAGUGGCGAACGGGUGAGUAACACGUGAGUAACCUGCCCUUGACUUUGGGAUAACUUCAAGAAACUGGGGCUAAUACCGGAUAUGAGCUCCUGCUGCAUGGUGGGGUUUGGAAAGUUUCGGCGGUUGGGGAUGGACUCGCGGCUUAUCAGCCUGUUUGUGGGGUAGUGGCUUACCUAGGCUUUGACGGGUAGCCGGCCUGAGAGGGUGACCGGCCACAUUGGGACUGAGCUACGGCCAAGAAGCCUACGGGAGGCAGCAGUGGGGAAUAGUGCACAAUGGGCGGAAGCCUGAGGCAGCAACGCCGGGUGCGGGAUGGCGGCCUUCGGGUUGUAAACCGCUUUCGGCUGUGACGAAGCGUGAGUGACGGUAAUGGGUAAAGAAGCACCGGCUAACUACGUG